rnacentral:rRNA from 1 species
UCAGGACGAACGCUGGCGGCGUGCCUAACACAUGCAAGUCGAGCGAGGAGAUCCUUCGGGAUGAUCCUAGCGGCGGACGGGUGAGUAACACGUGGGCAACCUGCCUCAUAGAGAGGAAUAGCCUUCCGAAAGGGAGAUUAAUACCUCAUAACAUCGCAGUUUCGCAUGGAACAGCAAUUAAAGGAGCAAUCCACUAUGAGAUGGGCCCGCGGCGCAUUAGCUAGUUGGUGAGGUAACGGCUCACCAAGGCGACGAUGCGUAGCCGACCUGAGAGGGUGAUCGGCCACAUUGGGACUGAGACACGGCCCAGACUCCUACGGGAGGCAGCAGUGGGGAAUAUUGCACAAUGGGGGAAACCCUGAUGCCAGCAACGCCGCGUGAGUGAUGACGGCCUUCGGGUUGUAAAGCUCUGUCUUCAGGGACGAUAAUGACGGUACCUGAGGAGGAAGCCACGGCUAACUACGUGCCAGCCGCCGC